GGGUCACGUGCUGGACUUAAUGACUGUGUUCUUGGUUCUAGGUUCUUGACUUAUCCACAUAAUAGAAAAUGGCUCUAGCUGAGCUGAUGAUAUGGAGAAAAAGAUGAAGUUACUUUUCAUGGAAAUAGAAAAUUGUUAGACGCCAUGAUUUGACUGAAGAUGAUAUUACGUUUUAGAUGUGGUUAACAUUGUCUCUUCUCUGUUAGUGUAUAAUGGAUUGACUGUGUUAUACUAUCACUGGAGCAGGCAUGGGGUCAAGCACUUGGUGCUUGUACUUCAGCACAAAUAAGCAACAGCUUUCUAAGUACUUAAUGCUGCUUACAAGUACCUUUUCAAUAUAAUCUAUGUGCUUUGUACUUGUACUUAAUUACUUUUACAAAUUUACAAAGGUGCUUUUAAGCACAGCAAAAAUUACACACAAAUAGUGUACAUCUACAUGGUACAUCUACAUGUACAUGUACAUCUAUAUGUAGAUGUCAUGUACAUAUACCACUACAUGGACAUCUACAUCUACAUCUACAUCUACAUGGUACAUCUACAUGCACAUGUCAAUGUCAUGUACAUGUACCACUACAUGUACAUGUACAUGUAGUAUACAAGUUUAGUAGCACAUUGUGUGAUGGUGUGUUAGCUUGAAGAAUGGUAAUGGCAUCAUCAUUAGUGGUAUCACUCCAAAGCUCUCUGCUGUUUCCAUUUAUUAUGAACAAUUCACAGAGUUAGUGUUUAUUAGAUGCAAUAGUAAAUAAACUAUAAUUGUAAUUUUACUUUAUUUUUACACUUAUUGAAUAUCUAGUACUUAUUAAUGUAAUUAAGCACUCUGAAAAAUGCUUGUUCUUGUACUUAAGCACUUAUGUUAAAGCUAGGGAUUGUGCUUGUGCUGGUACUUCUAACACAUUUAAGUGCUUGUGUUUGUGUUUAAGCACAUUUCCUAGUGCUUGACCCCAUGUCUGCACUGGAGUAUGAUGAUUCAUAAUUGAAGUUGUGUGAAACUAUUUGUCAAAUCGAAAAUGAAACUUACAAUUUAUUAGCAGAAGCACUCUACGUUCCCACAGCAAAUGACCGUUUGGGUGGAGGAAUGCAGCAACAAGAUAUUUAUUCCUCAUUGAUGAAUGAGCAGUACUCCUCUGCAUAUUCAAGACUUGAUCAUACUGGUGGUAAUGGAUUCUUUAUAGAAGAUACUAAAUACUGGGUACCUGAUAGUUAUACUGAUGGUAUAUACCAACAAUUAUCUGAUAGGAAAUACAGAGAAAUUAUAAGACACCAAAUAAAAGUAACAGAUUAUUUAGGAUCAGGACAGUUUGGUACAGUUAA
rnacentral:misc_RNA from 1 species